rnacentral:tRNA from 1 species
GUCCCUGUAGCUCAGCUGGAUAGAGCAUCGGUUUCCUAAACCGAAGGUCGUGGGUUCGAAUCCCGCCGGGGACGCCA